UCGAGGAUCAUUCGCAAUGCGCGAAAGCGUGACGGUGCGACGCCGCGUGCAGGAUGACGGCCUUCGGGUUGUAAUCUGCUGUCAGGAGGGAGCAACGGGCGGGAUACUAAUACUAUCUCGCAGUGAUAGUACCUCCAGAGGAAGCCACGGCUAACUCUGUGCCAGCAGCCGCGGUAAUACAGAGGCAGCGAGCGUUGUUCGGAUUUACUGGGCGUAAAGGGUGCGUAGGCGGU
rnacentral:rRNA from 1 species